ensembl:miRNA
GACUUUAUACUGUUGAUCAUCAGACUCAAGGUCAACAACUGACUACUUCGAAAAUGGGAAGCAGACAAUUGUUGAUCUUGGGCCCAAUGUUCAACAAUAUAAAGUU